AGUGCACGUGAUAGAAAAAAAGAUUUUCAUUUCAGUACUAUACAGUGCUAGAAAUGAUAAUGUAUCAAUGUAGUGUCUAUCUAAAGUACGUCUACAACUGUGAUGAAAAUUUAUCUGAACCAGCAUUUGUUAGUUGUUUUAAAACCUUGCCUUUUAUUCAUUUAAUAGUAAGUCCAAAUGGUUUUUUUUUUAAAUAUACACGGAGAAUAUUUUAUAUUUUUUUGUGCAGGGGUCCAUUUUUUUGAUUUUUUUUUUGAUAAGGAUCAUCAAUUAGCACCUCAUUAACAUACAUCAAUUACAGAUAUGAUUAUCAGUCAAUUACACUGUAGUUUAUAACAAAUUAAAGGUGCGAAGAUGGACGAUACAAUUCACAAUAGCCAAAAUUUCAAAUAAUGUUCAUAUUUAUCAUGUUUGUUUGGUAAUUGAUUAUUAAAAAAACGGG
rnacentral:lncRNA from 1 species